UACGUAGGGGGCAAGCGUUGUCCGGAAUCAUUGGGCGUAAAGAGCGUGUAGGCGGCCCGGUAAGUCCGCUGUAAAAGUCAAAGGCUCAACCUUUGAAUGUCAGUGGAUACUGCCGGGCUAGAGUCCGGAAGAGGCGAGUGGAACUCCUGGUGUAGCGGUGGAAUGCGCAGAUAGUCAGGAAGAACACCAACGGCGAAGGCAGCUGCGCUGGGACGGUACUGACGCUGAGAACGCGGAAAGCGUGGGGAGUCGAACAGGAUUCAGAAUACCCCUGGUAGCAUCCAGA
rnacentral:rRNA from 1 species